rnacentral:rRNA from 1 species
AAUGAACGUUGGCGGCGUGGAUUAGGCAUGCAAGUCGUGCGAUAACCCCGCAAGGGGGGAAAGCGGCGAAGGGAGAGUAACGCGUGGGUACCUGCCCCUUGGUCCGGAAUAGCUGCGGGAAACUGCAGGUAAUGCCGGAUACUAUCCGCGGAUCAAAGGUGUGAUUCCGCCGAGGGAGGGGCCCGCGUUCUAUUAGCUAGUUGGUAGGGUAAUGGCCUACCAAGGCGACGAUGGAUACCGGGUGUGAGAGCAUGACCCGGCUCACUGGGACCGAGAGACUGCCCAGACACCUACGGGUGGCUGCAGUCGAGAAUCUUCGGCAAUGGGCGCAAGCCUGACCGAGCGACGCCGCGUGCGGGAUGAAGGCCUUCGGGUUGUAAACCGCUGUCGUAGAGGAGGAAAUGCCAUGGGGUUCUCUCCAUGGUUUGACCUAUUCUAGGAGGAAGGACGGGCUAAGUUCGUGCCAGCAGCCGCGGUAA